GAGAGAGGAAGGGGGAGAAGGAAGGAAGGAAGGAAGGAAGGAAGGAAGGAAGGAAGGAAGGAAGGAAGGUUGUCCUGCCUAUUCCAUACCAUUUGAAUAAUUUCUUUAGAGUUUUUGAUGGACUUCAUUGUAAAAGGUUAGAAGGCAUUAAAAGUUAUCAUGUGUGUUAUAUUUAUAACAUAUUCUUGCAGCCAAAACACAAAAGUAGACUAACCAAGUUGAAUUUGAUUUAAAAAAACAAAAAGGCAGGGAGGGAUCAGGGGCAUUAAAAAUAAGAGGUUAGAACCUAAGAAGUCAUCCUUAUCUACAGGGCCAAAGGGGCUGGAUUCCUCUGUUGUGUUAUCUUACCUGGUUCUUUACUUACACUGUCAAAGACUUCACAGUCCCAGAGGGUAUGCCAGGAGGGGGCCUUUCUAAAUGAAUCCUGUGAACACUGCAUUUCUUUGCUUCUUUAGUGAAAAACAUUUCAAGACAAAUGAAAGGAAAUGAUAAAAAAAAAAAAAAAACCUCUUCAUUGCUUUGCUGAUUUUGAGGUAUGCCCUCAAAUAUCCCCCAAAGCAAACAGAGGCAACAUGAGUGCCAGAUCUGGCAAUAUGUUCUAAAUCUUCACUCUCUACCAGAUAAUUUCUAUUUUUAAGCUCUUUCCCUUUGGAAGCAGACACAUGAGAAGCCUUCCAGGCACACUGGGAUGCACAUUGUACCCGUUCCAUCAGUGUGCAUAUGUGGAAGAUACCCAGAACUCCGUGCUUCUGCAGCCUAGUGGACAUCUUUUAAGGUUGCUGUUGCUGGACUAUUCAAAUAUUUGAAAAGAGUCAUCUUAGCUGUUAACAGGUAGAAGGAGACAUGUAUCCUGGGCAAUGACUCAAAAUAAAUCUUAAAUUACAGGGACUCUAUGAUACAUUAAAAAAAAUUAAAAGACCAAAAAGAGAUGUUUGCCAUUUCUAAUCUCCUAGCUGCUGCAUGUAUGAUUUUGCACAAUACACUUUAUAAUGUCGUGGGAAGAAGCAGACAGGGGAGAGGUCACUGAGAGAAAACUCUUGAUAUUCGUUACCACGCAUGUUUUAAAGUCUACCCCACCUUCCUGCCCAUCUCCAGCACUGAGAUGCAGUGUUGUGGGCCUAGUCCAUGUUUAGUGAAAUGCAAUGUCAAGAAAGUCAAUGAGGAAAUUAAAUGUAAAUUCUGAGCAGCCAUUUACUGGGUUACUUGAGCAACCAAUCAUUAUGAAUUUCUGUUAUUUGGCAGUGACUUAUCUGUCUAUUUCUUACCCAAAAAGCCCAUCAGAAGGUGUCCCUUACAUUAUUGCUAACCUUCUGAUUGCUGUUCUUAAGGAUAGAGACAUAUAUGUGUAUGUAGUCAAGGGGACAUCCUUCCCCUCGGUAUCUGUAUGAUUUUGCUUAUUGUUAAUGUACUGGGUGAGCUCCUUUGUGCAUC
rnacentral:lncRNA from 1 species